rnacentral:lncRNA from 1 species
UUGCAUAUCUUAAAGUAAAAGUAUCAUUACCAUAUUCUUCUGCCACUUUUUCUAUCAUUUGUUAGAGCUAUUAUUGCUCGUACAGAACAAUCAGUCUCACAUCUCGUUCUUAAUUUCUGAUUUGUACUCAUAAAUUUCUGAUUUGUUUUUUCGUAGCUUGACUUCCCAGUUUUUAACACAUCCCUAUAAUUUAUCGCUAUGUCCGGUUUGUUUUCCGAGUUGGUCACCCUUCGUUUUCCAAUUAUGUUUUAAUUUUUCGCUGGUUUCCUCAAUGUAUUGUCACUGACAAUUUGUCAGUUUCUAUUAUCUUGGGUUUAAUGAUUAUUAAUGAAAACAAAAACUGGCAGAGUUAAUGUUUAAAAUUUUUGGUGAGUUACGUUGAUGAAAUGUUAAAAACAAUAUCGCUAAUUGACACUCUUAACUUCUAUUUUAUGAAUUUUUCUUAUAUGUUAUUGAAAAUUAUGCAAUUAUAAUUACCCAAACCUUGCAAGUAUAAACCACC